UUAAAGUGAUGAAAUGGAAGAAACUACAACCAAGAAUACUCUAACCAGCAAGGCUCUUAUUCAGAUUUGAUGGAGAAAUCAAAAGGUUUACAGAUAAGCAAAAGCUAAGAGAAUUCAGCACCACCAGACCAGCUUUGCAACAAAUGCUGAAGGAACUUCUCUAAGCAGAAAAGAAAAGGCUACAACUAGAAACAAGAAACUUACGAAUGGAAAAGCUCACCAGUAAAGGCAAACAUACAGUAAAGAUUGCUAUAUCAAAUCCUCAUGGUAACCGCAAAUUGAAAAUCUACGAUACACAUACAAAAAAGAAAAAGGAAUUGAAACACAACACUAAAGUUAGUCAUCAAAUCACAAGAGAAGAGAACAAAAGAGGAAGGGAACAAGAAAAAAUGUUUCGUAACUCUAUGUCUCUUGAUUUUUUGUAUUUUCCAUCUCUAUGUGAUAUGCUGUUUUUUCGUUUCCUCAGCUCUACAUUCUAAUCCAUUGAGUCUUUUGGCUUGGAAUUUGUUUCCAUUACAAGUUUCAGUCAGUUCUUUUUGACAUCUUUCAGGUCCUUUUUAAAGUGACUUGGCCUUUGUUCAUAAAAAGAAUUUUCCUUUAUACAUUGAAUCAUUUAAAACAUAUAAUUGCAUAAUUUGAGAUCAAUAAUUCCAUUACCUGAAAUUUUUGAAUAUCUAACCUGCUCUAAAUUUUAUCUGUUGACAUACUCACAUUGGCUUAUUUCCUUGAUUGUUUUAUAAUUUUGGAUUUUUUAGUUCUGUUUUAAUAAGGAUUUAAUUUGUGUGAAUACUGAAUGGCUUCAGGGUUGAGUGUUUCAUACCUCAAAGUAGUUUGCUUCUGCUGGGAACCCCAGUGAUAUUAUUAGCUCUGGGACAACUUUUGGUUUUGUUGUUGCUGUUAUUGUUACUGUUUUGACUUUGCAGAUUCUUUUUCUUUGGCCAUGCCAUGUGUCUUGUGGGAUCUUGGUUCCCUGACCAGGGAUUGAACCUGCGCCCUCGGCAGUGAAAGCACAGAGUCCUAAUAACCCUAGAGAUUCUUGGAAUGGUAAAAUAAAUGAGUGUAUUCCUAUGAAGCAAGAAGGCUGAUUACUAUGAAAGUAAAUGAAAGACUUCCCUGGUGGCACAGUGGUUAAGAAUCUGCCUCUCCCAAUGCAGGGAACACGGGUUUGAUCCCUGGUCCGGGAAGAUCCCACAUACCAUGGAGCAAUUAAGCCCGUGAGCCACAACUACUGAGCCCGCGUGCUGCAACUACUGAAGCCUGCAGGCCUAGAGCCUGUGCUCUGCAACAAGAGAAGCCACUGCAAUGAGAAGCCCAAGCACCACAAGGAAGAGUAGCCCCCGCUCUCUGCAACUAGAGAAAGCCCGCACACAGCAACGAAGACCCAACACAGCCAAAAAUAAGAAAUAAAUAAAAUAAAUAAAUUUAUAAAAUAAAAAAAAGAAAGUAAUGAAGAGUCCAUAGAAAUAGAUACAGUAGCUGGAAUUUACCACUGUUGGCUUGUAGCACUUAAGGCAAACUAACAAUCAAGUGCAACAGAUUUUCACCUCAGGCCUCAAAUACAGGUAACUACGGCAAAGAGCUUCCCCCAACUUAUACGUUACCUUUGCCAUGAUGUAGAAGGCACAAAGGAGGAGCUGAUCCAAAUGUCUGUCUUUCAUCAGAUCAGGGCAGUGAACUAAAGUGAAUUCAAAACAUGUCCAUAUCUUCCUUCUUAACUCAUUUGAAACAUCCAGUUUUAAACAUAAAUCACGUAAGCGUACACUUGCCAAAUGAUAGACCUAAGAUGAAAGAUAGCACAUUGAUGCAAAAAAUCAAGUAAAUAAUUUCUCAAAUUUAUGUCUUACCAUGAACAUGGGCUUUUAGGCCAACAUUAAUAAACACCUAAGGCUGCUGAUGCAUUAAAUUACAUAAAAUUUUUAUUUUAUAGUACUAGUUCACUGCUAUGGCAAAAGAAAAUAUAUUAAAACAAAAUUUUCUUUGGAAAACUACCUUAAACAUUUUUUUGGUAAAGAUGUUAUAUGCUAUUAUUCUAUGCUGUCAACUAUGUAAAGUGAGAAAUACUAAAAUUAAAUGGUUUGAUUUACCAGCAUCAUGAUCAUUAUGAAUACAUAAUUUUUCAAGUA